CCUACGGGGGGCUGCAGUGGGGAAUAUUGGACAAUGGGCGAAAGCCUGAUCCAGCCAUGCCGCGUGUGUGAAGAAGGUCUUCGGAUUGUAAAGCACUUUAAGUUGGGAGGAAGGGCCGUUACCUAAUACGUGAUGGUUUUGACGUUACCGACAGAAUAAGCACCGGCUAACUCUGUGCCAGCAGCCGCGGUAAUACAGAGGGUGAAAGUGUUAAUCGGAAUUACUGGGCGUAAAGCGCGCGUAGGUGGUUUGUUAGAUUUGAUUGGAAAUCCCCGGGCUCAACCUGGGAACUGCAUUCAGAACGAACUGACUAUAUUAUGUUAGAGGGUUGUGGAAUUUCCUGGGUAGCGGUGAAAUGCGUAGAUAUAGGAAGGAACACCAGUGGCGAAGGCGACCACCUGGACUGAUACUGACACUGAGGUGCGAAAGCGUGGGGAGCAAACAGGAUUAGAUACCCGAGUAGUC
rnacentral:rRNA from 1 species